rnacentral:rRNA from 1 species
AUUGAACGCUGGCGGCAGGCUUAACACAUGCAAGUCGAGCGAGCGGCGGACGGGUGAGUAAUGUCUGGGAAACUGCCUGCUGGAGGGGGAUAACUACUGGAAACGGUAGCUAAUACCGCAUACUAUCAGAUGUGCCCAGAUGGGAUUAGCUAGUGGGUGGGGUAAUGGCUCACCUAGGCGACGAUCCCUAGCUGGUCUGAGAGGAUGACCGGCCACACGGGAACUGAGACACGGUCCAGACUCCUACGGGAGGCAGCAGUGGGGAAUAUUGGACAAUGGGGGAAAGCCGGAUGCAGCCAUGCCGCGUGUAUGAAGAAGGCCUUCGGGUUGUAAAGUACUUUCAGCGGGGAGGCGGUACCCGCAGAAGAAGCACCGGCUAACUCCGUGCCAGCAGCCGCGGUAAUAC